rnacentral:lncRNA from 1 species
UCUUUGACCACAUCUCCCUCUACUUUCUUAUUUUUCUAAAGCAAAAUCGAUAAUAAUCAAUAGCACUUGAAAGAAUUGGUCUCUUUCAAUUUAAUCAGAAAUUUUAAUUUAAUUUAAUCAAAAAAUUAUGGGUUUGAAUUUAAUUUUGGAUAUUCAACAAUUUAAAUUUCUUAAAAAUAAUUACUAUCUAUUAGAGUUCUACAAAAAUU